UCGGGAAUUUUGGGCAAUGGGCGAAAGCCUGACCCAGCAACGCCGCGUGAAGGAUGAAGUAUUUCGGUAUGUAAACUUCGAAAGAAUAGGAAGAAUAAAUGACGGUACUAUUUAUAAGGUCCGGCUAACUACGUGCCAGCAGCCGCGGUAAUACGUAGGGACCAAGCGUUGUUCGGAUUUACUGGGCGUAAAGGGCGCGUAGGCGGCAAUUCAAGUCAUCUGUGAAAUCUCCGGGCUUAACUCGGAACGGUCAACUGAUACUGUCACACUAGAGUACAGAAGGGGCAAUCGGAAUUCUUGGUGUAGCGGUGAAAUGCGUAGAUAUCAAGAGGAACACCUGAGGCGAAGGCGGGUUGCUGGGCUGAUACUGACGCUGAGGCGCGAAAGCUAGGGUAGCAAACGGGAUUAGAUACCCAAGUAGUCCCUGAGCGGGCUGGCAAGGCG
rnacentral:rRNA from 1 species